UACGGGAGGCAGCAGUGGGGAAUAUUGCACAAUGGGCGCAAGCCUGAUGCAGCCAUGCCGCGUGUAUGAAGAAGGCCUUCGGGUUGUAAAGUACUUUCAGUCGUGAGGAAGGUGUUAAGGUUAAUAACCUUAGCAAUUGACGUUAGCGACAGAAGAAGCACCGGCUAACUCCGUGCCAGCAGCCGCGGUAAUACGGAGGGUGCGAGCGUUAAUCGGAAUUACUGGGCGUAAAGGGCACGCAGGCGGUUAAUUAAGUUGGAUGUGAAUCCCCGGGCUUAACCUGGGAAUGGCAUUCAAGCUGGUUAGCUAGAGUCUUGUAGAGGGGGUAGAAUUCCAUGUGUAGCGGUGAAAUGCGUAGAGAUGUGGAGGAAUACCGGGUGGCGAAGGCGGCCCCUGGGACAAAGACUGACGCUCAUGUGCGAAAGCGUGGGGAGCAAACAGGGAUAGAUACC
rnacentral:rRNA from 1 species